UACAGAGGUGUCGAGCGUUGUUCGGAUUUACUGGGCGUAAAGGGUGCGUAGGCGGCCCCGCAUGUCGGACGUGAAAUCUCCUGGCUCAACCAGGAAAUGGCAUUCGAAACUGCGGGGCUAGAGUACAGGAGAGGAGAGCGGAAUUCUCGGUGUAGCGGUGAAAUGCGUAGAUAUCGAGAGGAACGCCGGUGGCGAAGGCGGCUCUCUGGAAUGAUACUGACGCUGAGGCACGAAAGCUGGGGGAGCAAACAGG
rnacentral:rRNA from 1 species